rnacentral:lncRNA from 1 species
CAAGGAUGUAACUAGAUUUUGUGAUUCUAGGUCACUCAGAGCCAAAGGCUCUCAAAACCAAGAUAAGUAACUAAAAACUCCAAUAUCCUGGUACUGUGUGACUCUAUGGUGUGUCUGCAUGAGGAUGUUAACAGUCAAAUUGAAGAGAUGGCUGCAAGCUACACACUGGCCUUUGUCCUUUGCACCAUGAGCUGUGACUUUCUCUUCAUGAGUGUGUUGAAAGCAAAAGUAACAAUCCCAAUUCUCAUAACUUAAGCAAGAGAAUAUUUUUGACUUUUAACUAAAAAAAAAACAAGCAGUGAGAAAAACAGCGUCAACCACAGAUGACAUAUCACUUGCUUUGUUGUAUUCUCAAGAUUUCUCUGUGUAUUCCUAUUCCUUUGCGUGUUGUGUGGACUCUUUGAAUUCUAUAUUGG